rnacentral:rRNA from 1 species
UGCCAGCAGCCGCGGUAAUACAGAGGGGGCAAGCGUUAUUCGGAAUUACUGGGCGUAAAGGGCGCGUAGGCGGUUGUUUAAGUCAGAUGUGUAAUCCCCGAGCUUAACUUGGGAACUGCAUCUGAGACUGGAGAGCUAGAGUACUGGAGAGGGUGGUAGAAUUCCACGUGUAGCGGUGAAAUGCGUAGAGAUGUGGAGGAAUACCAGAGGCGAAGGCGACACCCUGGCACUGACCUGACGCUCAUGUGCGAAAGCGUGGGGAGCGAACGGGAUUAGAUA